rnacentral:tRNA from 1 species
GAUCGUCCAACGGCAGGACUACGGACUCUGACUCCGUCAAUCAAGGUUCGAAUCCUUGU